rnacentral:rRNA from 1 species
AGUGAACGCUGGCGAUAGGCCUAACACAUGCAAGUCGAACGGCAGCACAGUAAGAGCUUGCUCUUACGGGUGGCGAGUGGCGGACGGGUGAGGAAUACAUCGGAAUCUACUUUUUCGUGGGGGAUAACGUAGGGAAACUUACGCUAAUACCGCAUACGACCUACGGGUGAAAGCAGGGGAUCUUCGGACCUUGCGCGAUUGAAUGAGCCGAUGACGGAUUAGCUAGUUGGCGGGGUAAAGGCCCACCAAGGCGACGAUCCGUAGCUGGUCUGAGAGGAUGAUCAGCCACACUGGAACUGAGACACGGUCCAGACUCCUACGGGAGGCAGCAGUGGGGAAUAUUGGACAAUGGGCGCAAGCCUGAUCCAGCCAUACCGCGUGGGUGAAGAAGGCCUUCGGGUUGUAAAGCCCUUUUGUUGGGAAAGAAAAGCAGCAGGUUAAUACCCCGCUGUUCUGACGGUACCCAAAGAAUAAGCACCGGCUAACUUCGUG